rnacentral:lncRNA from 1 species
GAGCCCAGGAGGCGGGGCGCCUGUGGGAGCCGUGGAGGGAACUUUCCCAGUCCCCGAGGCGGAUCCGGUGUUGCAUCCUUGGAGCGAGCUGAGAGCUCGAGUACAGAACCUGCUAAGGCCAUCAAACCUAUUGAUCGGAAGUCAGUCCAUCAGAUUUGCUCUGGGCCGGUGGUACCGAGUCUAAGCACUGCGGUGAAGGAGUUAGUAGAAAACAGUCUGGAUGCUGGUGCCACUAAUAUUGAUCUAAAGCUUAAGGACUAUGGAGUGGAUCUCAUUGAAGUUUCAGGCAAUGGAUGUGGGGUAGAAGAAGAAAACUUCGAAGGCUUAACUCUGAAACAUCACACAUCUAAGAUUCAAGAGUUUGCCGACCUACCUCAGGUUGAAACUUUUGGCUUUCGGGGGGAAGCUCUGAGCUCACUUUGUGCACUGAGAUGCCAGACCUUAGAUUUUAUGAUGACUCCUCAACCGUUUAGAUCUCGGUUAUCUCAGAGGGAUCAUCAGCUUUUUAAGAAAAUUUUGAGAGAAAAGCAAGUGAAGAAAAGAGUAGUCAGUGCCCAACAUCACGGAUCUCUCACUGAACACACCAUGCCUGGUAUUCUCUCACAGUGAUGUCACCAUUUCUACCUGCCAUGUAUCGGCGAAGGUUGGGACUCGACUGGUGUUUGAUCACUAUGGGAAAAUCAUCCAGAAAACCCCCUACCCCCACCCCAGAGGGAUGACAGUCAGUGUGAAGCAGUUAUUUUCUACGCUACCUGUGCACCAUAAAGAAUUUCAAAGGAAUAUUAAGAAGCCUCCAAUUUACAGUCUAAAACAUGUACGCGGUGGCCCUGAGCUGUUGUGUAAAUGGACUCACUGCCCUGAGGCCACCAUGCUGCAAGGAAGCCCAAGCUAACCCUAGGAUGUGCCCUGAGACGACAUGAAGACGCAUCCCCAGCCAGCCUUCCACUACCCCAUCCUUCACUGCCCCAUUCUCACCCCCGCCCACCUCCUUACUCCCUCCACCCCUCCACCUGCCUCCAGCCAGAAUUGCACAGCCAACUACUUCCAGAAUCGCUGGUCCAAAGAAAUCACGACAGGCGCUAAGUUUGGGGCAAUCCAUUUAAUGCUACUAAGUUGUGGGAUGGUUUGUUUGAGCAGCCCCAGAUAACAAACAUUCCUUGAGGUCACACGCUAACCAAGCUGUGAUUCGAACACUGCCUCUCAAAUUCACGAGCAAAAGAGGGGGAAUUCUGUUUAAAAUGCCAAAAAGAACUCUUUCUUGCUUUUAUUAUUUUUAAUUUAUGUAUAAUAAUUGUAUGUUUAUAUAAUAAUUGUAAUAAUUUACGGGAUACAGGUGAUAUUUCAAUAUAUGUAUACAAUGUGUAAUGA